AGAGUUUGAUCCUGGCUCAGGACGAACGCUGGCGGCGUGCGUAACACAUGCAAGUCGAACGGGAGGCUUCGGCCUCGAGUGGCGGACGGGUGCGUAACACGUGGCAACCAACCCUUCGGUGGGGGAUACCCGGCGGAAACGCUGGUUAAGACCGCAUGUGCUCGCGAGAGGAAAGCCGUGAGGCGCCGAAGGCUGGGGCU
rnacentral:rRNA from 1 species